CACAAUGUUAUUUUCAGAACAACUAUUGUCACUGUCUAUGUAUAUAUAAGGCAAUCGGUAACGGGAAAUAUGCAAGAUCAGCCUCGAACUAACGGUUGACCUUGUACCGUCUAAGACAUGGCUUUCUUCAUGAACUAUGCCCAAUGCCUUCUCCUGAUUCAGAUGGGAAUAGGGACAGAAGCAGUCACGUGUCAAUUCCCUGAUGGGCCAAAAGACUGCAUGUUUCACUGCGGCGUAAAGGAUUGCUCAUUUUCUCCUAUAUUGUUGUGGGUUGUUGUAUGGGCCGUACUGAUGCCUCUGGUGGGCCUCGGGAUAGGUAUCUGCUGCUGGUGCUCCCGCCGUGUCGUGUGUAGACAGAGACGUCGUCAACUUGCCACUUCGAAAACUGACUGCUUCUGCUGCUGUUGCAGGGGUGCCCGUGAACCAUCUACUUCUGAUUUUAGUCAUCUGCAUCCUUCACACGUACCAGACAACGAAAACCACAUAUGAAUGAAGUGGCCCAUGACUUACGACUUAAGAAGACGACUAUUUGAAAGCUCCACACAUCACCUGCCAAUUGCUGAUCAAUAUGCUACGUUCUCGGUAGUUACGUCACUCUGGACAAAAUAUGAACUUAUCUUCUCGUACCAAUGCAGUAGAAUUUGUGUAAUAACGAGCAUUAGCACUUUCUGUAGUACCACUGAUAUUAUAAUUCGUUUUUUCAAUCACUUGAAUUCAGUUCAGCAAGGUGGUGCGUUGUCACGGGGCUGUACUUUUAGUUUUAACAAAGUUAAUUAUACGAUAAACAUACUUAUCAUACUCCAUGUCAGAAUGAUGAUAUCCGAUUGGUCCACGUGAUCUUGAUACAAUACUGUGUAACCCGCCUUGGAGGGGAAUAAAAUUCUCAGCGGGGAAAUAUAUCUCUUAUACCCCGUCAGCAAAUAAUGCUGCACGUGAACUUCUGAAAUAUGAAAUAAGUCCCUUAUACCCCGCUUCAAAGCAAAACGUCACACGCUUUUUCCGAGCCAAUUGAUGACAUAGCGCAAGCUAACCUCAGCUCAAUCGAGCAGCCGUUUUCUAUGAAUUUGGAAUUUAUUUGAAUUAUUUUACAAUAUCAUAUUAAAACAUGUCGGUAAGAUACAUUCGUUAUAGCAGGAUCAGUGGGCUCGUGGUAUUAAACCUAACCCGGGCCGGGACGCAUAAAACCCUCUUAAUGCUGCUACAACUUAUGAUGUACUGUGUUUUGAAUGUAGAGCUAGGCUACCUGUAUAUUUAAACGCGCAAAAUUGAACUGAACCAUAUGCGUUAAUUAGUUCGUUAGUUGGUUAGUUCUCGUCGCUUUAUGGCUUCAAUAAUGACGAUGCGACGUUAAUUUUAGUUAGUAAGUUAGCAGAGAUGUUUUGUUGCGCUCGUUUGACCCGUAUGCUGUUUCCGUCCUUCCUCACUUAUCAUGACACUUAUUUGUCACGUAUGGCAACAAUCUGAUUCCAUCGCAACGUCAUUAUUUUUAGUAACAGAUGAUUUUUUCUUUUCAUCUUAAAGUUUUGAGUUUUGUCUUUUCGAAUGAAAUGUUAACCACUUAAGAGGUAAUGCAACUGAACAAACUCCGGUGAAUGACUUGGCCGGACAUUCAGAUGAGGUGAGGUGAGGUGAAAUGUAUUGAUUUGAUAUUUGUUAUCUCAUAUAUAUUUGCUACUUUAUUCAUGUAUGGAAAAUGUUUUAGUAACUUUCAUUUUCACGCAGUAGCGUUAUUUUCUUGCACUAAUAGAUAUUUUCCAUGUAUUUAUGGUCAUUUUUGCCACCUCAAUAAUUGUACAUAUCUGUUUUUGAAAUCGUCAGUUGUACCGUUGGAUAGCUUAUGUUCAGCGCAUUGUUUUGGUAUCAGCAUCUUCCGUAUUGGUUUAGUAGUUAGUUUUCUAUUUUCUCUAUGUUAGGGGGGCAGUCGGGUAGCCUAGUGGUUAAAGCGUUCGCUCGUCACGCCGAAGACCCGGGUUCGAUUCCCGACAUGGGUACAAUGUGUGAAGCCCAUUUCUGGUGUCCCCCGCCGUGAUAUUGCUGGAAUAUUGAUAAAUGCGGCGUAAAACAUACUCACUCACUCACUCUCUAUGUUAGGAAACAAAAUUUGGUAACCUCGCAAGGCUAUUGCAUUCCAUUGGCCGACCUGGACAGGUAGUCCUCUACGACGUCCGCGCACUCGUAUCAAACCAUUGACGAAAUUUAUGUGUCUUUGCCGUCAGGCAUAUUAAGUCCGUUUACGGUCGUCUUGCUACUGGUUUGGUCAGGUCGAAACUCGGUUCCGUCAGUAAGUGGUUAUGGGGCAGAUCUCUGUCGGGUAUUGACUUACUCAUCUUGUAAAAGUGUUGAUUUAGCUGCUGUCCUUUUUGCUACUAUUAUGUGAUAAUCAGCUUGUAUAUUUGGUCUGACCAUUAUCAGUUUAAAUUGAGUUUUGGAUUUUUUUUAUAUUGCCGUUUACUGUUACAAUUAACAGAUUAAACCUGUGAAACCAUUA